rnacentral:rRNA from 2 species
GCACAGCAGGGAAUGUUCCACACUCAGCGCAAGCCUGAUGGAGCAACACCGCGUGAGUAAGAAGGGUUUCGGCUGGUAAAGCUCUGCUGUUAAAGAAGAACACGUAUGUAAUAACUGUUCACAGUUGACGGUGACAACCAGAAAGUCACGGCUAAAUACGUGCCAGCACCCCCGGUAAAACGUAUGUGGCAAGCGUUAUCCGGAUUUAUUGUGGGUAAAGAGAGGGCAGGCGGUUUUGUAAGUUUGAUGUGAAAGCCUUUGGGUUCACCGGAGAAGUGCAUCGGAAACUGGAUAACUUGAGUGCAGAAGAGGGUAGUGGAACUCCCUGUGUAGCGGUGGAAUGCGUUGAUAUAUGGAAGAACACCCAGGGGGAAGGCGGGUACCUGUUCUGCAAGGAUUCGGGAGACUGGAAAGCAUGGGUAGCGAACAGGAUUAGAUACCCUUGUAGUCCAACCGUAAACGAUGACUGCUAGGUGGGGAGGGUUUCCGCCCUUCAGUGCCGGAGCUUACGCGAUUAAGCA